CAAGUGCGUAGGCUGAGGAGUUAGGUAAAUCCGGCUCUUCUUAAGGCUGAGACACGACGUCGAGCUACUACGGUAGUGAAGUCAUUGAUGCCAUGCUUCCAGGAAAAGCCUCUAAGCUUCAGAUUGUAAGGAAUCGUACCCCAAACCGACACAGGUGGUCGGGUAGAGAAUACCAAGGCGCUUGAGAGAACUCGGGUGAAGGAACUAGGCAAAAUGGUACCGUAACUUCGGGAGAAGGUACGCUCUCGACGGUGAAGUCCCUUGCGGAUGGAGCUAUUGAGAG
rnacentral:rRNA from 1 species